AGGGUUCGAUCAUGGCUCAGGAUGAACGCUAGCGGCAGGCUUAACACAUGCAAGUCGAACGGUAACAGAAAAAGCUUGCUUUUUGCUGACGAGUGGCGAACGGGUGCGUAACGCGUAUGCAACCUACCUUUAACUGAGGAAUAGCCCAGAGAAAUUUGGAUUAAUACCUCAUAACACUAUCAAUUCGCAUGUUUUAAUAGUUAAAGCUUUUGCGGUUAAAGAUGGGCAUGCGUAACAUUAGUUUGUUGGUGAGGUAAUGGCUCACCAAGACUACGAUGUUUAGGGGUUCUGAGAGGAUGAUCCCCCACACUGGUACUGAGACACGGACCAGACUCCUACGGGAGGCAGCAGUGAGGAACAUUGGUCAAUGGACGAAAGUCUGAACCAGCCAUGCCGCGUGAAGGAUGACGGCCCUACGGGUUGUAAACUUCUUUUGUAUAGGAAGAAACCCCUCUACGUGUAGAGGGCUGACGGUACUAUACGAAUAAGCACCGGCUAACUCCGUGCCAGCCGCCGCG
rnacentral:rRNA from 1 species